rnacentral:rRNA from 1 species
UACGAAGGGGGCUAGCGUUGUUCGGAAUUACUGGGCGUAAAGCGCGCGCAGGCGGUUUUCCAAGUCAGUGGUGAAAGCCCGGAGCUCAACUCCGGAAUUGCCAUUGAAACUGUAAAACUUGAGUACGAGAGAGGUGAGUGGAAUUCCCAGUGUAGAGGUGAAAUUCGUAGAUAUUGGGAAGAACACCGGUGGCGAAGGCGGCUCACUGGCUCGUAACUGACGCUCAGGCGCGAUAGCGUGGGGAUCAAACAGG